UACGUAGGGUGCAAGCGUUGUUCGGAAUUACUGGGCGUAAAGAGCUCGUAGGUGGCCUGUCGCGUCGGCUGUGAAAACUCGGGGCUCAACUCCGAGCUUGCAGUCGAUACGGGCAGGCUAGAGUUCGGCAGGGGAGACUGGAAUUCCUGGUGUAGCGGUGAAAUGCGCAGAUAUCAGGAGGAACACCGGUGGCGAAGGCGGGUCGCUGGGCCGAUACUGACACUGAGGAGCGAAAGCGUGGGGAGCGAACAGG
rnacentral:rRNA from 1 species